rnacentral:rRNA from 1 species
GCCUACGGGGGGCAGCAGUGAGGAAUAUUGGUCAAUGGGCGGGAGCCUGAACCAGCCAAGCCGCGUGAGGGAAGAAGGUACAGCGUAUCGUAAACCUCUUUUGUCAGGGAACAAAGGCGGGGACUAGUCCCCGGAUGAGGGUACCUGAAGAAAAAGCAUCGGCUAACUCCGUGCCAGCAGCCGCGGUAAUACGGAGGAUGCGAGCGUUAUCCGGAUUUAUUGGGUUUAAAGGGUGCGCAGGCGGUCUGUUAAGUCAGCGGUCAAAGCCCGGGGCUCAACCCCGGCCCGCCGUUGAAACUGGCAGU